UUAUAAAGUGCUCACUUAUCCACUCGCCUCUCCAUCUUUUCCCCACACUUGUUUUUUCGCUUUGCUGCUGUCCCGCCGUCGUCGCCUUAGUGCUCCCGCCUCCUGCCGCUGCGCCGCACCGAGCGCCGCCGCCGUCGGCGUACAGGGUGAGGGCGCACCUCCACGGGCUGGAUUCUGCCGGGGGUCUCCACGCGAAGCCCGCGCGCCGCCGCCGUUUCGACCUCGCUGCUCCAUCCGUUGCGCCGCACCGAGUGCCGCCGCGCUUCGGGGUAAAGGGUGAGGGCGAGCCUCUCUAGGGGAUCCGACCUUCUUGACCUCUCUCCUCCCGCCGCUGUACCGCAUCGGGUGCCACCGCGCGUCGGGUUCCAGGGUGAGGUCGAUCCUCCACGGGCUACACUCCGUCGAGGGCCUCCAGGCUGCGCUUCGAGUGCGCAGAGACGGAGACGGCACUCUACACGCUCGUCGACGCAGAACACGCGUUCAGGGAGUGGGGAUCAGCUUAUUUGGGGCUGCACACGGGACGUGUGGCUCCCUGGUGGCAGCUGAUUGGAGGAAGACCGCCGAAUUUUCAGAGGCGGCUGAAGGCGGAGAGAAUUGUGUAGGGGAUAGUUGAUACUCCUGUUCGCCGUAGUCGUCUGGAGGUCAUUGGUGUCUGGUUCCCUGUUCUUCCUAUUAUUCAGUUGGAGGAGGUCACUGUCAUCACCAAUUAGGAAAACGAGGACACCCUCCUCAACAUGGGGUGGAGAAGUAAGAAGCAACUAGAUGUUUCUUCUACUUCCAGCAUGUUGAAAUCUUGCUACCAGAUGGAGGAAGGUGGAAGCAAGAAAGAACUGGAUGUUCUUCCUGGGAACAAUUUUAUACUUGCAGGGAUGAUUUUGCGUCGGAUGAUUGAAUCUUGCUCCCUUGGAAUGUAAUACUGUUAUUGAAGCAUAGAUGGGGCAUGCUUGGUUACGAGUCCUGCUAUAUUCUGGGGACUCCUAGUGGCCUGUGUGUGUGCGAUUUAGAUAAAAAGGAAGGUAAAGAAUAGUGUUGACUGUAAUUGUGAUUUUCUGUAUGAUUGAGUGUAUAUUAGUUGUAUACAGUGUAUAUUUUAGCUAUGUGUGAUGUGUCUUUACCCCUGUCUUGGUAGAAGUAUAUUAGUUAGUUUUUAGAUGUAAAGUAUCAUCUAAAUUUGAUGAGUGUAAAGUGGUAGAUCCCUUUUUUAUAGCUAGAUGUACAUUAACUUUUUCCUAGAAGUAUAUUAGUUGGUGUGUAGAUGUACAUUACCACAUAGGUGGAUGGUGUGUACGUUUUAUCAUGGUUCCCUAUAUACCUAGAUGUAUAUUAGUUGGUUCCUAGAAGUACAUUGGCGAUAACUAGAUAUACAUUGCCACAUAGGUGGAUGGUAUGUAUGGUUUAUCAUGGGUUGGACUACGCAAUUUCAGAAAGUUCUAAAGCAUUGGAUGGAUGUUCACUGCUAAAA